rnacentral:rRNA from 1 species
UGGGGAAUAUUGGACAAUGGGGGCAACCCUGAUCCAGCCAUGCCGCGUGAAUGAUGAAGGCCUUCGGGUUGUAAAGUUCUUUUGGCGGGGACGAUGAUGACCGUACCCGCAGAAUAAGCUCCGGCUAACUUCGUGCCAGCAGCCGCGGUAAUACGAAGGGAGCAAGCGUUGUUCGGAAUUACUGGGCGUAAAGGGCGCGUAGGCGGUUUAACAAGUCAGGCGUGAAAGCCCCGGGCUCAACCCGGGAAUAGCGUUUGAGACUGUUUUUCUAAGAGUUCGGAAGAGGUAAGUGGAAUUCCCAAUGUAGCAGUGAAAUGCGUAGAUAUUGGGAAGAACACCAGUGGCGAAGGCGGCUUACUGGUCCGACACUGACGCUGAGGCGCGAAAGCGUGGGGAGCAAACAGGAUUAGAUACCCUUGUAGUCCCUGAGCGGGCUGGCAAGGCGCAU